rnacentral:rRNA from 1 species
AUAGAUCGUGCGCGCCAUAAGAGCUCGCCCAGCUCCGAGCGCUUCCUCGGCACAUUCCUCCCCCGCGCGGCCGCCGGCGACCAACCCGCCUCGGCGGCCUUCGAGCUCGACGUGGACGACCUCUUCGGUUCUCCCGAGCGGCCGCGGCCGCAGCCGCGACGCCGGCCCUUGCUCAUCUCCUCCAUCUGCGCCGCAAACCCUAGCCCCCCGCGCCGCCCGCCGGGGGCCAUCCUCGAGGCCCUCCCCGAGCGCCUCGAGCCUCUCUCGCCGCCCCCGUCUGCUUCAUUCGUCUCGACAUCCCCCGCGUCUCCGGCGAUGGCCCUUCCACGCAUGAUCCCCGCCAUCCCCCGCCCGGUGCCGUCGUCGGCGAUGCACAUGCCGCAGUGCGCGCCGAUGAAUGUGCCAGCGGCGCGGAUGCGGCGACCGACGGUCGUUCGCAACUUCGCGAGUGAAGCAGAUGAGGACGACUACGACGUGGAGAUGUUGUCGCCGCACGAGAUGGUGGCGCGCUCGCCGGCGUGGGAGUCGCCCAUGACGACCUUCUGGGUGUUGGAGGGCGCUGGACACACGCUCCCAUGA